rnacentral:lncRNA from 1 species
UGGGACUUACAAGGCUGUCAGGCGAUGAGGUAAGGUAAAUGGUGGUCCUUCUCUGGCAGAAGUACAAAUUGGUACUUUUUAAAAAUUAUUUUUUAAUGUUUAUUUAAUUUUUACAGAGAGAGAGAGAGACAGAGCAUGAGUGGGGGAGGGGCAGAGACAGAGAGAGGGAGACACAGAAUCCGAAGCAGGCUCCAGGCUCUGAGCUGUCAGCACAGAACCCAAAGCAGGGCUCGAACUCACAGACUGCAAGAUUGUGACCUGAGCCGAAGUCGGAUGCUCAAUCGACUGAGCUACCCAGGCGCCUCACAAAUUGGUACUUUUAAUUUGGUACCUAUCACUUACCCAAUCCUCAAAAAACCAAUUAGAAUUUUCCUAUAGUUCUAUUUUACAUUCAGCUCUCUUUCUCUCUCCCUUCCUCUGGGUAUCAGGACCUUCCAUGGAGAUAAGGAAAUAUGUUAGGUAAAGAGGAGCUGGAAAAGUCAACCUGAUUGGAGAGGGAGAGGGAUUUGGUCCUAUGUCAUCACAAACUUGAGAGUUUGUUGAACACAACUGAAACUGUGCUGAAAGUCUCUUCUAAGAUGCCAACUUGGAGAAGGCACAAAAUCCCAUUGUUAUUUUUCAUUUCCAUGGUGACGGGCUUGAGUUUUGGGAGAGGAGUAACUCCACAGACUUACCUUGUGGAAAAUGCUUGUUGGGGGCGGGGGAGAUAUUGUUCUUCUCCUAUUCACAACCCAGCUUCUGAGAUGCUGGGGAGAAGGGCCGCUCCAGAGGGUGGGGGUGUGGUGGUGGGGCAGGGAGCAGGCAGCCAGUUGGCCUUCCUCAGAGUGUAAGCACAGAGCAAAGUGCUCUGCUUUGCAGCCAGAAACAGUGAUUCAUUUGAUUUUAAUUUUGACGUUAGCAUUUUUCUCAUGACUCAUUUGAUAAUUUCAUAUGGAAUUUAAAAGGCUGAAACAGUUAUUUACUUUUUAGGAACUUAAAACAUUCACUGGGUAGAACACAGUAUUAUCCUCUGAAACAGAAGAUGCCCUUAAGACUUCAUUAAAAAAAAAAAAAGAGGGGGCAUUACUCCCAUCUUUCCCCUCCCAGCUCCAACAUAAGUCUCUACCGUAGAUGAUCUUCUCACUAAUGUUGACCGACUGUCAGACUGUCAGGCAGCCUGUUUCAUCUUAAUGUUUUCCUUAUCUUGACUUCCUUUCAUCACCAUAUAGGAGAUUUGCUGUAGGUAUUUUUAAAAAGAUGUUUCCUUAUCACAUUGAAGAAAUUCUCCUCUAUUUCUGUGUUUUGAGAGCUUUUAACACGCAUGAAAAAUGCAUUUUACGCUUCAAUGGCUGUGAUCAAUGAUUUUUCUGUUUUAGUCUGUUAAUAUGGUACAUUACAUUGAUUUAUUUUCAAAUAUUCAGUCAGCCUUGUAUCACUGAAAUAAUCCCUACUUGGUCAUGGCACAAUAGUUUUUAUACAUUGCUGAAUUCUAUCUGCUAAUGUAUUAUUAAAAAUUUGUGCAUUCAUAUUCAUGAGGGAUAUUGGUCUACAGUGGGUUUUUUCGGUACUAUUUUUGUCUGGUUUUGUUAUAAGGAUAAUACUGGCUUCAUGGAAUGAAUUAGAAAGCGUUCCUUCUUGAAUUUUCUGGAAGAGAUUGUAUAAAUUUGGCUUUAAGUAUUUGAGCAUUGGUAGAAUUCUUCAGUGAACAUCUGGGUUGAAGAUUUCUGCAGAGAUUUUUAAUUAUGAAUUCAAUUUCAAUUUUUAAAAUAGUUCUAGGGUUAUUCAAAUUACCUAUUAUAUAUUAGAUGAUUUAUGAUAGUUUGUGCUUCUGAGGAAUUGGUUCACUUUAUUUACAUUUUCAAAUAUAUGUGUAGAGAUGUUUGUAAUAUUCCCUUAUUCUUUUGGUGUCUGCAGGGUCUAUAGUGGUAUCUUGUUCUACUGUAGAUAAUAUUAGUUAUGCCUUUUCUCUUUUUUCUUUGUCAGUCUUGCUAGAGGUUUGUAGAUUUAUAUUCAAAGAACCAGACUUUCUGCUCAUUGAUUCUCUAAUUUUUUCCUGUUUUCAAUUUCAUUAAUUUCUAUUCUUUGUUAUUUCCUUCCUUCUUAUUUGGGUUUAUUUUUGCUCUUCAUUUUCUGUGCUCCUGAGGUGAGAGCUUAGUUCCUUUAUUGAUUCAAGACUUUUCCUCUUCAUGAAAGCAAUCUAGUACUACGAUAUUUCCCUCUCAACACUACUUUAUCUAUGUCUUGCAAAUUUUGAUGUAUUUUCAUUUUCAGGGUUUUUUUUUUUGUUGUUUUUUUGUUUUUUUUUGCCAGUGAGAAUUUCCCUUUGACUCAGCGUUUAUUUAGAAGUGUUGUUUAGUUUCCAAGGUUUAAAAUAUUUUCUUUCUGCCUUCCGAAUGCUGUUGAUUUCUAGUUUGAUUACAUUGUGGUCAGAGAACAUACUCUAUACAAUUUCAAAUCUUUUAAAUUUGUGGCCAUUUGUUCUGUGGACAAGUUUGGUCUAUCUUGGUAUAUAUCAUGUGAAGAAUUGAAGAUGAUGUGAUUUCUGCUGUUGUGUGGAGUGUUCUGUGAAUGACUUUAGAAUUUGUUGGUUGAUAAUGUUGUUGGAUUUUCUAAAUCCUUGCUGAAUUUCUGUCUUUUUAUUCUAUAAAUUACUGAUACAGGGGUGUUGAAGUAUUCAGCUAUAACAGUGGAUUUUUCGAUUUUUCCUUUUAGUUCUAUCAAUUUUUGCUUUAAAUAUGCAUGCACAUAAAAUAUACAGCAUCAUAUUAUCUUUUUUUUUUUUUCAUCUUUUUACUUUCAACCUACCUAAAUCUUUAUAUUUGAAGUUACUUUCUUGUAGGCAGCACAUAGUUGGGUCAUAUUUCUCAAUCCACUCUGCAAACCCUUGUCUUUUAAUUGCUACAACGUCUUUUUAAUGACAUGUAAUACAUGGUUGAUAAUUGCCUAAGUCUUCCUUUUUAUUAUUUCUCUUUGCUCUCAUUGCCUUUUAUUUUCUUUCUCCUGCCUGUCUUGAACAUUUUUUAGAAUUCUAUUUUAUCUACAGUUUGUGUGUGUGUGUGUGCAUCUCUUUGUAAAAGGCAUUUUUGGUAUAUAACUCCGUACUACAGAAACUAAAGUGAAGAAAUCUUACCUCCCCUCAGGUGCCUUUACCCAUCUCCGCUGAGAACAUGGGUGUCCCAAAUAAUUUCUCUGCAUUCAUUGCCAACCACAUUAGACAAGGUUACAAUUUUUGCUUCAAUCAUUAAAACGUAAUUUAGAAAAGUCAGGAAGAGAAGGACAGUUGAUUGUGCUUAACCCAUAUAUCUGUUCCUCCUGUGGACCUUUUUCAUUGCUGACAUCCCAGGAGUCCUUUAAUCACUACGUGGGUUCACAGCUGCAGCCUGGGAGGCGGCUGGAUGCGCAUGCGCACUGAGAAUGGCGCGCAGCGCCCUAGAGAGCAGGAGGCCAAUAGAGUUCUCGGCCACGCCACGGCCGCGGCUGCGGCAGGAGCAGCAGCAGUAUGGCGGCAGGCAACUCCGUGGCGGGCGGCCUGGCGGCUUGGGCCGCAUUCCCCGUCCCUGUGGUGGUUUGAGCCACUCUUUAGCUACUCUUUUAAGGUAGGUUGGCUGGCAACAAAUUCUUGUAGGUUUUCUUCACCUGAGAAUGUGUUGGUUUCACCUUUAUUCUUGAAGGAUCCUGUCAACUGGGUAUAGGAUUCUGGGUUGAUUUUUUUUUCCAGCUCUUAAAAAACAUUGUGCUAUUUUCCUUGCCUUCUGUGGUUUCUGGGGACAGAUGCUCUGCUCUUUGAAUUGUUUUUUACGUCUAAAAGCAAUGUGUCAUUUUUCUUAGGCUGCUUUUGAUAUUUUCUUUGUCUUUAGUUUUCAAAAUUUUGACUAUGGUGUGUCUUGUUAAUAGAUUUCUUUGGCUUUUUAAGUUUAUUCUGCUUGAAUCUGUAGGCUGCCCCUGCCCCUGCUACUUGGCCUUUUUUUUUUUUUCUUCCAAAAUUUAGGAGAUUUUUUUGCUGUAUUUAUUUUUUCAGUCUUCUUUCCUCUUUCUAGGGCUUUGAUGACAAGGUCUUUUGUUGCAGUUCACAUAUCCCUGAGACUGUCCAUUUCUUUUAGUCUGUGUAUACUUUAGUCUGUGUAUACUGUGCUUGGAUUGAGUAAUUUCGAUUAUGUUUAGGUUCACUGAUUCUCUCCUCUGCCUUGUUCAUUCUGGUGUCAAGCCCAUCUGUGUAGUUUUUUUUAUAUCAAUUAUUUUGUUUUUUAGUUCUAAAAUUUCCAUUUGGUUUUUCCUUAUAUCUUCUGUUUCUUUGCCAGGACUUUCUGUGUAUUAAUUUAUUUUAAGUAUGUUUGUAACUAUUCUGAGCAGUUUUAUUAAGCCUGCUUUAAAAUCCUUGUGAGAUAAUUCCAAUGUAUGUGUAUCAUCUUGGGGCAAUCUUAUGAUUGUCUUUUUCUCAUUUAGUAUGAGUUCUUCCUGGUUCUUGGUAUAACAAAUGAUUUUUUUAUUGAAACCUGGACAGUUUGGGUUAUUAGCAGAUUCUAGGUCUUAUUUAAAUCUUGUGUAGCAGUCCUCCUCUGAUAGUGUUCUGGUGGGUGAAGUAGGGUUGCCACCUCCUGCUGCCAGGUGCAGGUGGAAGUCCAGGUGCUCCACUCUGCCUCCAUUGACACCCAGGGAGUAAGGGACUUCUUGAUGGAAUUUCAGGGUCCCCUUAUGGCUUCCACUGACACUUAUGAGUUGGAGUAUUCUUGUUACACUGAAUACUGGUGAAAAUUUACUCUCCAUUAGGCUUCUUUUGACAUACUCCCAAGGAAGAGAGAAUUGAGGCACCUUGUUACAGCCUGCCAAGGGUGCCUGUGUAGCUAGGUUCUCCAUGUGGCUUUUGCUGUCAGAGGUAGGGGUUGGGCUGCAGUUCUUUUCUGUGUUGUUUGGCUGGAGUGACUUUGUGUUAUCUAAACGUUUUUGUAUUUCUGGAGUAGACUUUGUAUUAUCUAAACGUUUUUGUAUUUUCCUGGUUCUUUGGCCAGAGAGGGCAGGCUUUCCUUUGGGCUGCUUCUUCCUCCCCUUCCUUCCUCCCUCACUCCCUCUCUCUUUCUCUUCCUGCCUCUCUCUUUCUUUUUUCCUUUUGUCUAUGACCAUAGGGUGCCAGUUCUACAGUCUACUCUGGAAUAUAUGAAGCAGAAAAAAGCCCCAGAGAACUCACUACCUAUGUUCUUCUGGCCCAAGGUCCCUAGAUGGACUGCCUUCCUCUAAUUAACCUUUCAGAUAUGCUUGUGUUUGUUUUAUAUAUAACAUCCGGGGUUUUUAGUAGAACUUAGCAGGAGGAAUAGGGAAAAGUACGUCUGCUCCAUCUUCUUGGAAACAAAUACCAGCAGGUAAGUUUCAUUCAAUCUUUAAAUGCCCUCACAAAUUUGCAGAUCAAAGGUGAUAAAUUAUUUCAAUUUUCUGAGGGAAAAAUUGAGACACUUAGAGGUAAUUUACCUGAUCAAAGUUGCUUAGAAAUGUGGCCUUGGCUUGAAGUAAAAUCUUGGAAUUUUAACAGUUAUUAUUUUGCUUUUCCUUUUUCUUUCUAUGUUUGUUAGAAAGAAAAAUCUGGGUGUAGGGGUGGUGAGAGUGGGGAAGGAAGGAAUAGUUACUAAAGAGAAGACUAAAGGAUACUUACUUGUUCAUAAGCAGCAACUGUUUAGAAUUAUAAAACUAGGACUUUUUAGGUGGAUUUUAAUUGACCUAUGAAAUGUUGUUAAUUUCCACAAAUUGAUUCCAUGAUCUUCAUAGUUACUCAUUUAUGUCUCAUUUGUAAAUGAAUGGCUUCAAUUAUUUAUACCGUGUCCUGAAACUCAAGUGGCAAGGUACAUAUUUAGUAAUCACUGCCACCUCCUUAAUUAAAAAUUUGCAUAGACAUGGGAAGGAUGGGGAAAAUUUUCAUCACUUUGCAGUGAUGAAAGCAUGUAUAAAACUUGCAUCUGAAUACUUUUGAUCCUGUAAAUUCUCUAGAUUGCUUAGUAUUUCAAAGAAGAUUUUAUUUUGGAAUGCUAUCUUAAAGCCCAUUAUUUAGAGUUCCUGAAAAGUUUCCAAUGCUGCAAAGGCAACAAUGAGCUCAGAGAAUUAACUUCCCCAAGCAAAUUUUCCUAAUUCUAAUAUGUUUCCUAAUAGAGCAUUCACAGCUUCCUCUUUUCCUAUUUUAGUCUUGAUCAGUAACACCACUCUUCAGAAUUCCUGAGUCUGAAAUUAAGAAGGGAUAGGAAAUGGGGAAGACCUUUUAGAAACUAGUGAACUGACCUAUCUGCUUGAUCCUUUUGUGGCCAUUUUAGUUCAGCCAAUUCUUAGGAGUUCAGACCUGGCAUAUAUUCUAGGAAGAGGGUGAGCAAAACUGUGUAAAUUCUUGAGAAGAAUGUGGGGCACAACAGAGGGCAGUUGGGAGGAUAGAACGAAGUAAGGGUAUAGUCAUUACUAUGGAAAAUUAUCCUUGCUUCUGAGUCAAGAGUUAUGACAGUUCUGGUUUUACGAAGGAAUUUGGGGUUCCAUUUAAACUACCUACUAAAAAAAAAAUAAACUACCUACUAUUCAGGAAUCUCCUGGAGUGCCUCUGUCUUCCAUCCAGUCUCCCGGUCUUCCCAUAGAGCUCGGUGGGAAAAAUGUCUCUGAAUGUAGCAACUUCUAGGAUUUUGUGGAAAUUUUAGCUGUAGGGAUUUUUCCCCCCUAAAUUGUUUAUAGUAUGUUCCAGCCUCUCAGCUCUAGAACCACCUCCACUGAGGCUUUCAAAUUUGCCUCAACUUUGGUUCAAGAUGCUUUUUUGUUACUUUAAUUGUCAGGGAAGGCAGUGAGCCUUGCUCCCUACACUUUCUUUGUUGGAGGGGAUAGGCUGAUUGCUGCUUGGAGAAGGGAAAAGUGGCUGAUAAGAUCUGUCUCCUGCUUUCUCUUUUCAUUUUCCAUGCUAUACUUCUCUCAUGAAAAAAGACAGCCACACAUAAACUACUUGGACAUAGAGGAACCCAUGAACUUGGCUGGAGGCAGGCUUAGAGUUUAGGGGCAGCUGAAAAAUCUGUUACAAAUUUGCAGUCAUUUCCAUGAGACUAAUUGUCACUUCCAGAAAUCAGACCAGAAGGAAUAAAUAUGUGUUUUUCCCUGGUAAGGGAAGGGGAAUGAGGAAUUGGGGAUUGGGGAUUAGCCCUUUCACAGGAAAUGACUGGGCCCCUAAAGAUCAUCUGAGGUCUGCUACCCAGCAGAAAAAUGAGAUAGGUGGACCAUGUAGAGUUUAUGUUGGCCACUGGCAUUGCCUGCUGUAAAGGUGGUUAUUCUUUGUAAUACCAGAAAAAUUGCUUUGUUAGGGUAUCAGAGGUCAAAAGUCUGUUUUGCUUUUUUUUUUUUUUAAUGUUUUACAGUCUUCCAUUUGAAGUUUUUCUUCUCAAGAUAAUGGUUUCUCUUAAGACCUAUCAUUCUUGGUGAAUGUGUAGAAUUCCAGAAGAAUCUGUGUCUUUGCUCCCUCUCUAGAACACAAAGCUAGUGCUACAAACAGUAAGAAUGAAUAUUUUCUAAUUAGAGAAUAUUAUGUGAACAAGAGUAUCUUAUAUCAACAUUCAUUUCUGUAUCUCAGUUUAAAUUUGGAUACUUUGUGUCAUUUUUAAUUUUUUUUCACAUGCCACUUAUCCUUGUUCCAUACCAGAGGCCGUGCUAAGAAGUUUGCAAAGAAUAAUGCAGUUUACUUCUAAGCUCAAAUAUUUAGUGAUCUUUGUAUAUAAUACUUCUAAUUGCAAAAUUUUGUGCACCUGGAAAGGAGAUCCGUGUUUCUAAAUAUUGAUGUUUCAAUAGGGUUAUUGAGCUUAUCUCUUACACGUGUUCUCAAGGAAAGACAACUUCUGUAACUUUUCAGUUUCAAAGUACAAGUGUUCUAUCAUUUAUUCAUUUUUAGAUUUCAAUCUAUUGUUUUAUUUUUUAUAUAUAUUUGUAAAAGUUUAUUUUUGACAGAGAGAGGAGAGAGGAGAGAGGAGAGAGAGAGAAAGAGAAAGAGAAAGAAAGAAAGAAAAGAAAGAAAGAAAGAAAAAGAAAGAGAGAGAGAGUACAAGCAGGGGAGGGGCAGAGAGAGACAGAGACAGAGGAUUGAAGUGGGCUCUACACUGAGAUUGGAGAGUCCGAUAUGGGGCUUGAACUCACUAAUGGAGAGAUCAUGACCUGAACUGAAGUCAGAGGCUUAACCAACUGAGCCACCCAGGCGCCCCUAUAAUUUUUUUUAAAGUUUAUUUUGUGUGUGUGAGAGAGGGUGUGCUUGCAUGAGUGGGGAAGGGGCAGAGAGAGAGGGAGAGAGGGAAUCCCAAGCAGUCUCCACACUGUCAGUGCAGAGCCCAACACAGGGCUCAGUCCCACAAACCACGAGACCAUGACCUGAGCCAAAAUCAAGAAUUGGCCGCUUAACUGAAUGAGCCAUCUAGGUGCCCCUAAUGAGUGUUUUAAAUAAUAGUGAAAGGCUCAGAAGUUGACAGUUGUGUCUGAAGAGGAGUAAUGGAUUACAAAGAUCUGUUAACUGGCUGUGUAUCAUUUUCCCAGCUUUUGGCAGAUACUCUUCAAAAUUUAACAGAUAUUGUAGGAUACAUUUUGGGCACUGAGUAAUAUUGUAGGCCCUGUGAAUUCAAUGGUGGAUGAAAGCUUACAGGCCCUUCCCUAUCUAGUCCACAUGCCCACUAUUCCUUUGUACUCAAAGUGCAGGCUACCAGUGUUACCUGGGAUACUAGAAAUGCAGAAUCUUAGACUUCAUUCAAAAUUUCCUGAACCAGAAUCUGCAUUUUACCAAGAUUCUCAGAGUUUUCAUGUGGACAUGAAAUCCUGAGAAGUUUGCUAGUGGUCAAUUGAAGAAUUCAGGCUGUAGCCAACCAUUGUGUGGCAUUCCUUGGACCACAGGAAUUGGCUCAGAAAUGGGUAUCUUUUCAAGGAGAUGAUGGUAAAGGAAGUUCUUUUUUCUGUACAGAGAGACAGAGGAAGGAAUAGUCCCUUUCUCCCUCUGUCUACUAUGCUGUUGAGGUACAAUUCCUGAAACUGCUGCAGCCUGUUGAUGAAUGUGAGGAUGGGCAGAGGCAAGAGUAUCACAGAAACAUGGAGCAGAACCCUGAUUGAACCAUAUUUGAUCCCCAUCCUCCCCUUGGGCCUUGUCAGUUAUGGAAGCCAAUAUAUCCUCUAACAUCCUAACUGAUUCACUCAAAGAGGCUAUAUUCUAGAGCCUUAGUGGAAAGGCCCAUAUGUCAGAAAACAACAUAUACCAGAAUAGGUAAACUUGGUCAGCAGCAUGUCAGUCCCUAGUGCUGCCUGCCAAGGGGGAUAAAUGAGACACAGUUUUGGGAAAUCUCUGGGCUUGGGACCAAUUUGGGAGGCAAGGUGGAGGAGUGAAACUACAUGUUUUGCUGAUAGAGGAGAGUGGUGAGUCAUAGAGAUAUACAGAUGCUUGGGGUUGUUGUGAAAGAGAAGGGAGAAGUCCUUGGAUUCCUGAAAUGGGAUCUGUGAGGUGGCCUCAGGCAGAAUCAGUCUUCUCUGCUCAUUUUGCCACCUUCAAUUGCUCUCACCUUCUUUCUACUACCACCUAAGGCAAAUCAGUGGCUUUCUCUACCUUCUGUUCAGUGCCCUCUCCCUUCUCACCUUUCCUACUUCCCCUCCCACCUCAUCUAGUGGCACUUUUUCCAAAUCCAAUAGGGUUGUGAGGCUACAGUGAGUCCUUGAUGUUUGUUUUUUAGGAGGGCUUCCUUAGCAUGACUUAUCCUAGCAUAAGUCCAAUAAAGGGGAGGGAUAUUGGGUGUGGAUUCCCACCUUCACUCACACAAAUACCUCCAUUGUCAACCCAGAGGACAUCCCCUGGGCAUAUGAAAUAAUUAUAACUAUGACAAUUGAUGGAGCAUUUAUAUUCCAGGCUCUGUGUUAUAUAUUUGAAAUGCCAUAUCUGAAUCACUGAGGAACAGAGGAAUAAGGCAUGAAACAAAGAAAACAAAAAAGCAAAGUGGCAUGUAAAUGAAACCAUAUCAAUAACUACACUAAAUGUGAAUGAGUUAAAAAUUCUAGUCAAAGGCAGAGAUUGUCAGACGGGAUAAAACUUUAAGCUCCAGCUGUAUGCUAUCUAUAAGGCAUUUUUUAUCCAUAUAGGUAAAAAUCAAAAAGCAUGGCAGUGAUACACCAUGUAAAUGAUAACCUUAUUAUCAUAAAAAAUAGAACUUAAGAUCACAUGUGUUACUAGAGACCAAGAGGGGCAUUUUUUAAUGUAAAAGGGCCCAUUAUCAGGAAGAUAUAACACUUAUCUAAGAGUAAACACUUAAUAACAGAUCCCCAAAAUAUGUGAAGCAAAAAUAGAAAAAAUUGGAAGAAAAAAUGGCCAGUAAUAAUAGUUGGAAACUUCAAUACCCUAUGCUCAAUAAUUUGUAAAGUGGUAUUAUAUAUGACAGGAAAACUUACAAACAUGCAGAAGACUUAAAUAACACUAUCAUCCCUGUGGGAUACUUCAUCCAGCAGUAGCACACAUGGAACAUUCUCCAGGGUAGACCAUAUGUUAGGCCAUAAACAAGGCUCACUAAAUUUAAAAUGAUUGAAAUCAUACAGUUACAUCCUCAGACCAUAACACAAUUAGAAAUCAACAACAGAAACAAAUUUAGGAAAUCCCCUAUUUGAAAUUAACAUAUUUCAAAUAAUCCAUGUGUCAAAAAGAAAUCAUAUGGAAAUCAAAGUAUUUUAAACUGAAUAAAAACCAAAGCAUGGCAAAUCAAGAUUUGUGGCGUACUGCAAAAGCAGAUUAAAGAGAAGCAGGUUAAAGAGAUUUAAAGCUUUAAACACCUACCUUUGAAGAUAGAGCUCAAAUCAAUAAGCUAGCUUUUUGUCUUAAGAAAUAGGAAGAGAAGAACAAAUUAAAUGCAAAUCAAGCAGAAUGAUGGAAACAAUAAAGAUUGAAGUGGAAAUCAAUGAAUGGAAAACAGAAAAGCAGUAGAGAGUAUUAAUGGAGACAAACAUUGAAUAAUCAACAAAAUUGACAAUCAGUUAGCUAGUGUGACAAAAAAAAAGACACAGUCAAAAUCAGGAAGAGGGGAAUAUUAUUAGUGCUAACCCUGAGAAUUUAAAGGGCUUAUAAGGGAAUAUUAUGAAGAAUUUGAUGUCAACAAAUUGGCCAAUUUAGCAAACCAAAUGCAGCAACAUAUAUAAAGGAUUAUAAUCCACUGGCAGCACAGAGCCUGAAGCCUGCUUCAGGUUCUGUGUCUCUCUCUGCCCCUCCCCUGCUCAUGCUCUCUCUCUCUCUCAAAAAUAAACACUAAAAUAAAUUUGUAAAUAUAAAUUAAAAAACUUAUAGAAGAAAACAUAAGGGGAAAUGUUCAUGACCUUGGGCUAGGCAAAUGAUUCUUAGAUAUGAAACCAAAAUUAAGAUCCAUAAAAUAAAAAUUUCAUAAAGUGGACUUAAUCUAAAUUAAAAACUUUUGCAUCUCAAAACAAAGAUUUUUGCACCUCAAAAUACACCAUUAAUAAAAUAAAGACAAGUCACAAACUGGAUGAAAAUAUUUUUAAAUCAUAUCUGAUAAAGGAUCUGUAUUCAUAACAUAUAAAGAGCUCUCACAGUUCAAUGCAGUUGACCCUUGAAUAACAUGAGUUUGAACUGCACAAGUCCACUUAUACAUAGAUUUUUUUACAUUACUGCAAAUAUAUUUCUCUUAUGAUUUUCAUAAUGUUUUGUUUUCUCUGGCUUUAUCAUAAGGAUACUAUUAUAACAUACAAAAUAUGUGUUAAUUGGAUGUUUAUGUUAUCAGUAAGGCUUAUGGCCAACAGGAGGCUAUUAGUAAAAUUUUUAGGGAGGGGAAUUGAAAGUUAUAUGUGGAUUUUGAUUUUGAAGGGGGUUGGUGCCUCUAACUCUUGUGGUGUUCAAGGGUCAACUGUACUGAGAGUAACAACCUAAUUAAAAAAAAAUGAACAAACUAUUUGAAUAGGUAUUUUACCAAGAGGAUAUACAAAUAGCUUAUAAGCAUAUGAAAAGAUGUUCAGCAUCAUUACUCCUUUAGGAAAUUCAAAUUAAAAUCACAGUGAGAUACCACUGGAAAGAUUACCAUAAAGAAAGCAGAUUAUAGCAAAUAUUGGCAAGGAUGUAGAAAAACUGGAACACUCAUACAUUGCUAAUGAGAAUGUAAACUGGUGCAGAUACUUUGGAAAUAAUUUGACAGUUUCUUAAAAAGUUAAAUACAAAUUUGCCAUACAACCCAGUAAUUCCACUCCUAAGAAUCUACCCAAGAGAACUGAAAACAUAUGUUCUCCCAAAGACUUUUAUUAUGAAUGUUUGUAGUAGCAUUAUGCAUAAUAGCCCCAAAGUGGAAACCCUCUGAGUGCCCAUCAACUAAUGAAUGGAUAAACAAAACGUGGUGUAUUCAUAUGAUGGAAUACUAUUCAGCAAUAAAACAAACUACUCAUACAUUCUAUAACAUGGGUGGAUUUUUUUUUUUUUAAAUUUUUUUUUUUUCCAACGUUUUUUAUUUAUUUUUGGGACAGAGAGAGACAGAGCAUGAACGGGGGAGGGGCAGAGAGAGAGGGAGACACAGAAUCGGAAACAGGCUCCAGGCUCUGAGCCAUCAGCCCAGAGCCCGACGCGGGGCUCGAACUCACGGACCGCGAGAUCGUGACCCGGCUGAAGUCGGACACUUAACCGACUGCGCCACCCAGGCGCCCCAAACAUGGGUGGAUUUUUAAAACAUUAUGCAAAAUGAAAGAAGCCAGAGGCAAUAAGCAAUAUAUAUUGUAUGAUUCCCAGUAUAUGAAUUGUAUAUUUUAUAUGAAAUGUCCAGUAAAGGGAAAUCUAUGGAGACAGAAAGCAGUUCAGAGGUUGUCUGCAGUAGAGACUGACUGCAGAUGGGCCUAAGGGAUCUUUUGGGGUGAUGGUAAUGUUCUAACCCUGGAUUGUAGCAAUGGUUGUACAACUCUAUAAAUGCACGGUAAUUUGUUGAAAUACUUAAAAUGAAGAGUUUCUGGUAUGUAAGUUAUACUUCACUAAAACUGUUAAAAAAUUAAAAAAAAAAAAAAACCUCCCAAGUAAAGCCAACCACCAAGCAAAGCAAGCAAACCAAAUACAAAAAUACAUAUACAAAAAAACUAAAAACAAAACAAAAACAAAAAAAAGUCAGCCUUGCCUUGAACUUCUUGGUUAAUGUUGAAAUAGUGUCCCAGACACAAGGCUAAUUUUUCAGAGUAAGGAUUAAUACAAGUACCCUGCCCUUUGAAAAUGGUAGGUGCAUCAUGUAGUGUGCAUUCCUAAAAAGCUGUAAGCUUUAGAUACUUCUUUGUUUUAUUUAUUUGCUAUCACCUUCCUUUCUCCGCCCCCCUCCCCACCUCGAAAUCCUCAGUCAGAGCUCAGUCACUAUUGACUGAUGUCCCUGAAAGAGCUUGUUGUCUCCUCCCUGUCAGGGGAGAACUGCAUAUAAUCCUUUCUCAACCUAAAUUCUUGUGGGAGGAGAGGGAGGGCACAGAGCUAUGACCUGAUCAGGACUGAGCUUCAUGUAUGGGCCAGCAAAGAUGAUUCUGAUCUAUAACUACAAUUGUCACAUGUCCUUACUCCAGAAGGGUUCUUAGAGGUCUCCUGGCUGAACUCACUUCUUCCCAGCUGGUGACCACCUGUUUUAGUGUCUCUAACACUUUGAAUUCCAGAUAGUAAAAAUAUGUGCUCUUAUUUCUGUGGCUCAAGGCGAAUUUUAAAGAUUUAAAGUGUCCUGGGUUCUUUGGGAAGGAUUUCUUCCUGUAAAUAUAAAGGAUUCUUAUCAUUACCAAAACAUUCUGAAAACAAUAAUGUUCCUGGCAUUUGACCCAAUUUCAUAUCUGUAUACAAAAUACUCGUGCAUUGAAGCCUUGCUAUCUUACGUUUUCAAGGUUCCAGAAAGCAAGAAAGUGGUAAAUAAAGGGCAUAUUACAAGUGGAAUUUCUCUACAGUCUCACAGUUAGUCUUCUGAGAAUAUCAUAAGCAAAAAUGCUAAGUGAAAGAAGCCUAUAAAAUCUGCAUUGUUCCCACUUUUCUGUUCCAUGUUUCCUUAGAGUCCUCAGGCUUAGAGACCCCAGGGAACUGGCAGGUGCAGAUUUCCAUGGAAACCAGCCCUAAAAGAAUGAAAUCCAAAGAGAGAAUUGUGUGAAGUGCCCUUGCUCCUGUGUAAUUUCCUUGCCAACAGUUUUCGAGGUCAACCUAGCUUAUUUCAUGAAAUUAGAGGCCCUGCUGUCAGGAUUUCCCCAGCAAGGAGGGUUUGCUCAGUUCUGUUGGUUGGAAGUCCACAGAUUAGGGUUAGUUCUCUGCUUCUAGAAGAACAGGCCUCAUUACUUAGCCUGACUUUCAAAUACCUUUUAUUCUAGCCUCAUUUUAGUUAAACAGAGCCAUGCUUUUUUUUUUUUUUUUCACAUUUAGGUUGCAUUUAUUUACUUUCUUCAUUACAAAAUAGGUGUAUUUUUAAAGAACCAAUGAGAAGAGGUUUUUAUUAUUACACAUGUAUGAAUUUUAUAUAUGUGUUCACAUAUAUAUGUAUUUUAUAUAUGUAUUUUACAUAUAUAUGUAUAGUUAUAGUUAAAAUUUCUGACAGUAUAAAAAGUCAAAAAGGAAAAUACCUGUGAAUCCUUCUUCCCAAAAGCAAAAUGGGUGUAAGUUGUAGGAGUGAGUGUGAUUCCUCCAACAUUGGCCAGAGGAACACUCUUUACUAGUAUCUGCCAGGGUGGAGAAAUGGGCCUCAAUUCUAGAAAAUCUCGGCUUGAAAUCAGUUUGGGAAAUGUCUUACACCUUGCUUUGUGAUUUAAUAAAAAUAUAGCUUAGAAGACUUUCUUCAUCCACUUACAGAUCCAGCUCAUGUAGUACAUCAGUGGUUCUCAAACUUGAGAGCAUAUCAGAAUCACCUGGAGGGCUUGGUACUCCGCCCCAGAUGACAAGGUGCUACCCUCAGAGUUCUUUAUUUAAUAGGUCUGGGCUGGGGUCUGAUAUUUUGCUUUUCUAACCAGCUUUCAGGUGAUGCUGUUGCUUCCACCUGUGUACCUUUCUUUAGCGCUGUGAUUGAGUGCUCUGAGCAAAUGUAGAGAUCCAUCUUAGCAAAACAGUACUGUAUGAAUUUAUCAUCCUAUUUUUAACCAACUCUGUGUCAUUAAACAUUGUGAAGUUCUUUUUGUUACCUCAUUGUCAUCCUCACAACGAUCUUAUAAUGCAAUAAGAUGAAUAGUCACCAUUUUUAAGUAUAUACUAUAGGCCAAACACUGUGAAUUGUUUUAUCCUCACAGCAACCCUGUCUUGAAGGUACUUCCAUUAUUCCCAUUCUAUAGAUGAGAAGACUGAGUCUGAAAAAUUACAUAAUGCGAUUGAGUUCAUACAAUUAAUAACUUAAGAUAGAUUUGCCUGAUUCCAGAACCCAUGUUCUUUUCAGAGUGUCUGUCUACAAGGAAUUUACAGGCUAGUGGGAGAGUUAAGGAUGAAACACAAAGGACUAAGAAUAAUAGAGAGUGCUAAGUAACUAAGAAAUACAGAGAAGUUGACUUAAUCAAAGAAGGGAUCAGGGUGUAUAGUCUCUUGUGGUCCCAAGCUUAGAAGUGCUGGCUCUUGUUUCAUGCUUUACUGUCACUAUCUUGAAAUUCAAAUUUUUAAACAAAGUUAAAGCAUAUUUUCACUUUGCACUGGGUCAUACAAAUUAUAUAGCCACUCCUGGAAUGGUUAGUCUUCAAAAGCUUUAACAGUACUUUUAAUAACCACUAAACUGGGACACCUAGGUGGCUCGGUCAGUUAAGCAUCUGACUCUUGAUUUUGGCUCAAGUCAUGAUACCAUGGCUCAUGAGUUCGAGCGCUACAUGGAGCCCCAUGUGGAGCCCUGCAUGGAGCCACUUGGGAUUCUCUCUCUCUCCCUGUUUCUCUACCCCUCCGUCAUGCACGAGUGUUCUCUCUCUCUCUCUCUCAAUAAUAAAUAAAUAAAUAAACUUAAAUAAACACUAAAAUGAUAAGCCCACAAAGUUCACUCUUCACUGUUCAUUCACUGUUUACCUUCAUGGAGGGAGGGAGCAUUUUCAAAUGAUUUGUGCAACUUUUUAUUCUAUACUGCUUUGUUUUUGAUCUCCAAGUAGACACCCUCCUGAGAUAUAUAUAUAUAUAUUUUUUUUUUUUACCUGAAUACGUUCAGAGAGGCAUUCAUUUGCCAAGCAAAAACAUCACUAGGACAGUAAAUCUGAAGGAAGAUAAUGCCAAACACAGCUUUCCAAAAUCAGCCAGAAAGGAUGUUUUGGGGGAGAUAGAGGGGAAGGGAAGAAUCAUUUUUUAUUUCCCAUCUCCGGGUCCACAUUUAUUUAUUAGAAUAUUGUUACCUUAACUAUAGUUUGCAGCCUCUGAAAUUUAUUAUUCUUAUGUCAAACAAAGUAGAGAUUCUGAAAUUUUUCUACAUUAGCUAGUUUUCAUAUAUUUUCCAGGGAGUAAAAAUUAUUUCCACUUCUGUACACUGGGAAAAUUCCAUUGUGAACACAGUGCACAUCAGCUAUGCCCCAGGGGAGUGCUGCCUUGUGUAUUUCAUAUUUCACGCCAUAACAAUGUUAUCCGAUUUUAUAAUUAACAUUAAAUUUUUAUAGGAAAAAGUACCUUGUUAUACUAGUUGUUAACCUUUCGAUGUAUUUAAAGCUCAUUUCAUAAGGAGCCAUAUGCUUCUUCAUCACCAUCCUAAGUGGGCUCUGUUGCUAAGUGUUAUGGGAUCUGGUAAUGAAAGAUAUAUACACAAUGUGUUUGCCCAAUACCAGGGGCAGAAUUAAGGGAGCAGUGGGAGCCUUAAUUCUUGAAUUUCCUGACUUCUGUGGGUUUCAUUUGCAAUUUCAGCAUUCCAGUGAUAUUUCCUUUCUCACACCCAUUCUUUUUUUAGUUUCUUCCUCAACAUCCCUACCUCCUCUCCAACCCAGAUAACAGCUACUUAAACAUUCAUACUCACUUUCCUACCACAUCUGAGUUAUAUGAUUCAUUAUACCAUAGAUUAAUGUAUUAGUGCCAUCUCUCAUGGGGCUUAAUUAUUGCUUCAGUGUUCCCAAGCUAUGGCUCAGUGACACAAAUCCAUCUAGGACAAGACAUGUAAUAAGCAAGCAAUGGUGAACCUAACAAGUUUUUAUAUACUUUUCCAAAAAUGUAAGUGGGUAACAGCUUACGUGAGAAUAGGUUUUCAAGCUUGUAUUUAAAGUAAAAAUAGAGAGGGGGCGCCUGGGUGGCUCAGUCGGUUAAGCGUCCGACUUUGGCUCAGGUCACGAUCUCAUAGUUCGUGAGUUCGAGCCCCAUGUCGGGCUCUGUGCUGACCGCUCAGAGCCUGGAGCCUGCUUCACAUUCUGUGUCUCCCUCUCUCUCUGCCCCUUCCCUGCUCAUGCUGUGUCUCUCUCUGUCUCAAAACAUAAAAUAAACAUUUAAAGUAAAAAUAGAGAAUGGUAAAAUUUGCCAUUGAAAAUCUUUUAUGUCAUUCCUUAAGAAUAUGGGAGCAUGUGUGUUUAAUGUAACAAUAAUUAUUACUAAAGCUAAAGUUAAACAACAACCAAGUCAGACCAAAAGAAGAAAUUAAAGAAGAAUCUUUACGCAGACAACUGGGCAGCCAAACUAUUUGUGUUCUGACACCUACCUAGUGGAGGGAGAGGAAUGGAUGGAGAGGCUAAUGUGGUCUUCUUGUUUGCUGGUUUAUUUCUUUCUGUUUUAAUAUUAAGCAUCUCCAAACUAGUUUAUAGUAAUUGAUUGCUUGCUCAUGAGGAUUAAGAGAAAUGGUAGAGUCUCAUCUUACAGAGGAUGCAGUUUUGAAGUCAGCGGCUGAAUUAAAUUUGCAGGUGGUGCAAACAUACAUUUCUAGCAUUAAUUUGAAUUUUUGUAACAUGCAUACUCAGAAAGGUAAGUAAGACAUUUGGGAUUGCAGUAUCAUUGAACUUAUAGAAAAAAGUGAUGUUCCAUUUAGGUGGUAUGUGGCCUAAAAUAGUGCUUCUCAAACCUCAUUGAGCCUGUGAAUCCCUUGAGGGAUCACGUGGAUUUAAAAGGUCUGAGGUGGGAUCUGAAAUUCUGAAUUUCCAAGUUCCUGAGUCACCCUGCUGCUCUUGGUCUGCAGACUAUACAUUGAGAAGUCAGAUUGUAAUGGAUUAAGUAUUGGGAACUGAAGAAAGAGUGGUCAUGACAUUUACCUUCACCUCUGCCUUUGUGUGCUAAUUACUGAAAAUGCCUUAAUUCUAGUUUCUUCACCUGAAAACAGUGCAGGAGAACUUUAUGUUAGUAAGUUUCUGCAACAAAUAGAUGUUUAAGUUAGUUGGAACAGAUGUACAGGUACUUUCAACUUGAAAAUAUUUGUUACUUUUUAUAAUUUAUACAUUAUAUUUUUGGUUUAAUAUUAAAAAAAAAAAAACAGUGUUGCAACUUGGUAGGUUUGAAGUAGGUUCCAAACUUAGAAGACCAAACACAUGCAGGUAAAACCAUCUCUGGUGAGUAAAUCAACUCCUGCUUGCCCGCCUUCCAUGACUGGUGGCUGUCACUUUUACUUUGAAGGUAUUCCCCUAGCCUGAAAUUUUAUAACCUUAUUUAAUAUAGCCUCCUCAGUAUUUAAGUAUCUUUUUGAUUAAAACCAAUUCUUUGUGUUUAAUUUAAGCUCUGCAAUUGAAAAGUUUUUGUCCCUGAACUUAGUUGAGUUACAGAUAUAAAUCCACUGCCCAUUUAAAGGAAUCACGGUAGGGUAGGGUUUAUUUCCCAUAAGCCAUGUGAUUUGCUUUCAAAUUAGCAAGACAUUUUUGGCUUAAAGGAGAAUUUUUUUUUUAAUGAUGCAAACUCUGUAUAAAAAUAAUAUCAUGGUCUAUAAUACUAAGCACUGUCAUUUUUCUGUAGAAUAGGCAUUUCAGUGGACUUCGUCUAAUAAUUAGAGCUUCAUCCUCAUCCUUUAUUCUGUAAAACAAUGUCUAUUACAAACAGUGUACUUUGACUAGACUCUUUAAAAUUGAAAGCAUGUCAUGAAACUUUGAUAAUUCAAAGAUUCACAUUUUAAAAAUAUUUACACUUAUUUAAAAAAAAAUCUAGACUGGAUAUCCUACCCACUGAGAUAACUUGAAAAAUAAUAGUACAACUGGUAGGGAAGUUUUAAAAUUUCAGUUAACCAAUGUGAUAAAAAUAAAUGGUUCUUUCCUUCAUGGGCAAAAUAGAGUCAGAAACCCAGGGUAUUUCUUUAGAAGAAGCUGCUUUUGGAUAUUUGGUUUCUCCAGCAUCCUUUCACCAGGAGGAUUGGAGACAGGGUCCCUGGUGAGGUUAGGGUGAGAACUAAGGGUAUUGAGAGCAGUGGGAGUUCAGGGUGAGGCCGCUGACCAGGGUGCUGAGAGCGGAGAUUGUUAGGAGUGUAGCUGUGUGUCCAUUCCAGUGAGCAGUGGAGAUGGAUAAAGCUUGGCAUUGACUCUGUGGCUCUUCCUGUUGGGGUGUCCAGUGUGGAGUUCACUGGGUGAUGUAACAGGGGUAGUUGCUUUUGCACAGCAGUAAUUUAGAAAAGAAUUGGAAUUAUUGUGAUCAGUGCAAGACUUCCCUGUGUGGAAUACUAGUUGAUAUUUUAUUUGUCCAAUGAAGUUAAAAAGAUGUUUUAAAACACAUUUUAGUUCAUGCCUUUUCACAAUAUUGAAUUAUUUUUCAUGUGACUGGAUGGAAACUCAAUGAAACUUUUCCUUUGGUCCAAUUCCUUUGCUAUAUAUAAUUGAAAAAUCUCUGUUGCUAACCAUGAUACUUUUAGCAUGUAUCAUUUGGUAAUUGCAGUUUUCAAAUACUUGUAUUUUAUUUUAUUUUUUAAAUUUUUUAAUUUUUUUUCAAUAUAUGAAAUUUAUUGUCAAAUUGGUUUCCAUACAACACCCAGUGCUCAUCCCAAAAGAUGCCCUCCUCAAUACCCAUCACCCACCCUCCCCUCCCUCCCACCCCCAACCCUCAGUUUGUUCUCAGUUUUUAAGAGUCUCUUAUGCUUUGGCUCUCUCCCACUCUAACCUCUUUUUUUUUUCCUUCCCCUCCCCCAUGGGUUUCUGUUAAGUUUCUCAGGAUCCACAUAAGAGUGAAAACAUAUGGUAUCUGUCUUUCUCUGUAUGGCUUAUUUCACUUAGCAUCACACUCUCCAGUUCCAUCCACGUUGCUACAAAGGGCCAUAUUUCAUUCUUUCUCAUUGCCACGUAGUACUCCAUUGUGUAUAUAAACCACAAUUUCUUUAUCCAUUCAUCAGUUGAUGGACAUUUAGGCUCUUUCCAUAAUUUGGCUAUUGUUGAGAGUGCUGCUAUAAACAUUGGGGUACAAGUGCCCCUAUGCAUCAGUACUCCUGUAUCCCUUGGNNNNNNNNNNNNNNNNNNNNNNNNNNNNNNNNNNNNNNNNNNNNNNNNNNNNNNNNNNNNNNNNNNNNNNNNNNNNNNNNNNNNNNNNNNNNNNNNNNNNNNNNNNNNNNNNNNNNNNNNNNNNNNNNNNNNNNNNNNNNNNNNNNNNNNNNNNNNNNNNNNNNNNNNNNNNNNNNNNNNNNNNNNNNNNNNNNNNNNNNNNNNNNNNNNNNNNNNNNNNNNNNNNNNNNNNNNNNNNNNNNNNNNNNNNNNNNNNNNNNNNNNNNNNNNNNNNNNNNNNNNNNNNNNNNNNNNNNNNNNNNNNNNNNNNNNNNNNNNNNNNNNNNNNNNNNNNNNNNNNNNNNNNNNNNNNNNNNNNNNNNNNNNNNNNNNNNNNNNNNNNNNNNNNNNNNNNNNNNNNNNNNNNNNNNNNNNNNNNNNNNNNNNNNNNNNNNNNNNNNNNNNNNNNNNNNNNNNNNNNNNNNNNNNNNNNNNNNNNNNNNNNNNNNNNNNNNNNNNNNNNNNNNNNNNNNNNNNNNNNNNNNNNNNNNNGAUUCCCUUGCCUUUGGGGAUGUGUCGAGUAAGAGAUUGCUACGGCUGAGGUCAGAGAGGUCUUUUCCUGCUUUCUCCUCUAGGGUUUUGAUGGUUUCCUGUCUCACAUUCAGGUCCUUUAUCCAUUUUGAGUUUAUUUUUGUGAAUGGUGUGAGAAAGUGGUCUAGUUUCAACCUUCUGCAUGUUGCUGUCCAGUUCUCCCAGCACCAUUUGUUAAAGAGACUGUCUUUUUUCCAUUGGAUGUUCUUUCCUGCUUUGUCAAAGAUGAGUUGGCCAUACGUUUGUGGGUCUAGUUCUGGGGUUUCUAUUCUAUUCCAUUGGUCUAUGUGUCUGUUUUUGUGCCAAUACCAUGCUGUCUUGAUGAUGACAGCUUUGUAGUAGAGGCUAAAGUCUGGGAUUGUGAUGCCUCCUGCUUUGGUCUUCUUCUUCAAAAUUCCUUUGGCUAUUCGGGGCCUUUUGUGGUUCCAUAUGAAUUUUAGGAUUGCUUGUUCUAGUUUCGAGAAGAAUGCUGGUGCAAUUUUGAUUGGGAUUGCAUUGAAUGUGUAGAUAGCUUUGGGUAGUGUUGACAUUUUGACAAUAUUUAUUCUUCCAAUCCAUGAGCAGGGAAUGUCUUUCCAUUUCUUUAUAUCUUCUUCAAUUCCCUUCAUAAGCUUUCUAUAGUUUUCAGCCUACAGAUCUUGUACAUCUUUGGUUAGAUUUAUUCCUAGGUAUUUUAUGCUUCUUGGUGCAAUUGUGAAUGGGAUCAGUUUCUUUAUUUGUCUUUCUGUUGCCUCAUUGUUAGUGUAUAAGAAUGCAACUGAUUUCUGUACAUUGAUUUUGUAUCCUGCAACUUUGCUGAAUUCAUGUAUCAGUUCUCGCAGACUUUUGGUGGAGUCUAUCGGAUUUUCAGAUACUUGUAUUUUAAAGCUUCAGAGACCCAAGUCAUAGGGAACUGAACCAGAGAAGAAUUUUUUCCUUUCUUUCUCAUAACAUGAAGUUCGGAAGAAGAUAGUGCAGGGAUGUAGUGAAAAUUCUGUAGCCCUACCAAGGUCUUAGGCUUGUUCUUUCUUUCUGUUCUGCCAUCUUUUCAGAAUUAAUGGCUGCUAUAGCACUAGCUAUGGCAUUUACUCUCUAGGCAUGAAGAAGGAGUAAGGGAAAAAGGAGUCUUACAGUUCAGCAACCCCCCCCCCCCCCCCCCCCCCUUGGAUAAUUCUCCCAGAUGUGCCACAUAAUGAGGACUUUUCCCUCUGUUUCAUUAUCCACACUAUUCUUUUAGAGUCACUGGGAAAUGUAGUUUGUAGCUGCCUCCAGCAAUAUAGGGAUUUUGUUAGUAAGAAGGAAGGGUAUUAUGAAUAUUGAGUAGAGAACUAGUAGACUCUUGUCCCAGAUGUUUGGCUUUUUAGUGAAACAUGAUGCUCUUUCAUGAUGCUAUGACAUGUAUACUCUUCAUUCAAGAUGGUUUUGUUCAUGGGUGGGAUGAAUUUUCCCUCAUGUGACCAGAGUAGCUAGACAUAUUCCUUACAUGUAUUAAAAAAGAAAAAGAAAGAAAAGAAAGGAAGAAAGAAAGUAAGUGCUACAGUACGAUAGAGUGAAAGGUGAACACUUAGGUGUCACAGUUCCAGUAUGGUAGAUGGAAUUGUUCACUCCUUCAGUGCCCCCUUGUGCCCAAUAUACUGUAACAGGAUAAUAAAGUUAAGCACUGUAGAAAGAGACCUGUUGAAAAGUUUUCUCCAUUACAGUUACAGUGUAGCAAUGUGUGGUUUUAGCUACUAGGAAAGCAAAAAGAGAAAUAUAUAUCUUCAUGAUAUUGGACAAAAAGUCACAGUGUUGAGGUGUAUCUAUUUAUUUAAAUUUUCUAGCAUUUGUUAAUUUUGAGAGAGAAAUAGAGUGCAAAUGGGGGAGGAGCAGAGACAGUGGGAGACACAGAAUCCAAAGCAGGCUCCAGGCUCUGAGCUGUCAGCACAGAGCCCUAUGUGGGGCUCGAUCCCAUGAACCUUGAGAUCAUGACCUCAGCCAAAGUCAGAUGCUUAACCAACUGAACCACCCAGGCUCUUUAUUAUGCUAAAUGGUUUUCUCAUCAAAAUAGUAAAUUUUACUUACAUUUAAAUUAAGAGUAUUUUUCCUCCUUGAAAUUUAUGCAUAGACUGACUAUAUUUAUAUUUAUUCUAUAAUCUGCUAAUCUAUGAAUGAACUUGGAUAAUAGUUUACAAACAGAUUUGAUCAUUUGGAAUUCAAGAGGGAUUUUUUGAAAAUAAAAUACUCAUUUGGUUUGAUGGACAACAAACUUUACUAAAGACAGUGUGGAUCAGAGACUUUCUGAUGGACUUUACAGGAAUUGAAUAAAUCUUUGUUAUACUGACACAAACCAUGAAAAACUAUGAGCAUCAUUACUGUUUGUUUACCUUAUAAUUUACCUUAUAGUAUAUGUUAUAACUAAAGAUACUUUUUUUUGAGACAAAAUGAACACUACUUGAUUGCAUCAAGAUAGUAGUGUUUCAUCCUUGAUGUGUUGAUACCAGGUGUUUAAACUUGACUUAUUCAUUCCAUAGAAGAAAAACUGGCAACAGACCUCUCACGUAGUCUGCCAGAGAUAAAGCAUCAGUAUAAAUUCCAAAUAAUUUUUGUUCUCUACUUUAAUGCAAACUCAAUUUAAGCUAGAUGCAAGAGUUUUUAUUUGUUUCUUUUUGAUUUUCUGUAACUGUCAGAAAGACAUUGGAACACGUGCUGCAAAAUUUACCAGAAGCACUGUCAACUGAUAAUUGAUAAAAGUGGGUAUCGGGGCGCCUGGGUGGCGCAGUCGGUUAAGCGUCCGACUUCAGCCAGGUCACGAUCUCACGGUCCGUGAGUUCGAGCCCCGCGUCGGGCUCUGGGCUGAUGGCUCAGAGCCUGGAGCCUGUUUCCGGUUCUGUGUCUCCCUCUCUCUCUGCCCCUCCCCCAUUCAUGCUCUGUCUCUCUCUGUCCCAAAAAUAAAUAAACGUUGAAAAAAAAAAAAAAAAGUGGGUAUCAAAACGAAAGCACCCCACGCCUUUGUUAUGGGUAGGCACCCACUAAGCAUUGAAUUGGUCUUGCUGAUUUGGAUUCUCUAAUUGCCCCUAGGCAGAUUCCACUGGAAGCAAUAUUUAGAGCUAUAAUCAUCAGUAGUGACCAUCUAGCACAAUUCUCUCUAUACUGAGGAAGAAGCUGAAGUUACAGAGAAACAAAUCUUUUCAUAGUCUCAUGGGCCAGAGCAGGAGCUUGAAUCAAGGUUUCAUCCAGAGUUCAUGUUAAUUUCAAACUACUGCUACCAUCUACAGAGGCUCAUAGGGGUAGCUGCUUCCAUAUGUGUGUGACUACUCCGAAGUAGGACUGGGAGUAAAUCUUACAUUUUUUCCUGUCUGCUGCUACAUUGUCAUUGUCACUCUGUUUUCCUUCCCUAAUUUGAAGACUUGACCCAUUGCAGACCUCCAUUGGAAGAAAAUGGGUCAGUGUAUAAGAAUGCCAUUGGACUAACACUGUCAAUAGGAAAAUUAAAAUUUUUAUUCCACUUGAAAUAAAGUGUUCACAAUUUAAAGAAAUUUACCACAGGCAAAGAGGAUGCGGAACCUUUGGAAUUUAUUUUCAAUAAAAGAUCCUGCAAGUAGAAGAAAACCCCUGAAACUGUGGUUUUAUUAAGGCCUAUUAACAUGUGUACUUGAAACAAGAGUAUGAAGCUUUUUUUUUUUUUUUAUGAAAUUUAUUGACAAAUUGGUUUCCAUACAACACCCAGUGCUCAUCCCAAAAGGUGCCCUCCUCAAUACCCAUCACCCACCCUCCCCUCCCUCCCACCCCCCAUCAACCCUCAGUUUGUUCUCAGUUUUUAACAGUCUCUUAUGCUUUGGCUCUCUCCCACUCUAACCUCUUUUUUUUUUUUUUUCCUUCCCCUCCCCCAUGGGUUCCUGUUAAGUUUCUCAGGAUCCACAUAAGAGUGAAACCAUAUGGUAUCUGUCUUUCUCUGUAUGGCUUAUUUCACUUAGCAUUACACUCUCCAGUUCCAUCCACGUUGCUACAAANNNNNNNNNNNNNNNNNNNNNNNNNNNNNNNNNNNNNNNNNNNNNNNNNNNNNNNNNNNNNNNNNNNNNNNNNNNNNNNNNNNNNNNNNNNNNNNNNNNNNNNNNNNNNNNNNNNNNNNNNNNNNNNNNNNNNNNNNNNNNNNNNNNNNNNNNNNNNNNNNNNNNNNNNNNNNNNNNNNNNNNNNNNNNNNNNNNNNNNNNNNNNNNNNNNNNNNNNNNNNNNNNNNNNNNNNNNNNNNNNNNNNNNNNNNNNNNNNNNNNNNNNNNNNNNNNNNNNNNNNNNNNNNNNNNNNNNNNNNNNNNNNNNNNNNNNNNNNNNNNNNNNNNNNNNNNNNNNNNNNNNNNNNNNNNNNNNNNNNNNNNNNNNNNNNNNNNNNNNNNNNNNNNNNNNNNNNNNNNNNNNNNNNNNNNNNNNNNNNNNNNNNNNNNNNNNNNNNNNNNNNNNNNNNNNNNNNNNNNNNNNNNNNNNNNNNNNNNNNNNNNNNNNNNNNNNNNNNNNNNNNNNNNNNNNNNNNNNNNNNNNNNNNNNNNNNNNNNNNNNNNNNNNNNNNNNNNNNNNNNNNNNNNNNNNNNNNNNNNNNNNNNNNNNNNNNNNNNNNNNNNNNNNNNNNNNNNNNNNNNNNNNNNNNNNNNNNNNNNNNNNNNNNNNNNNNNNNNNNNNNNNNNNNNNNNNNNNNNNNNNNNNNNNNNNNNNNNNNNNNNNNNNNNNNNNNNNNNNNNNNNNNNNNNNNNNNNNNNNNNNNNNNNNNNNNNNNNNNNNNNNNNNNNNNNNNNNNNNNNNNNNNNNNNNNNNNNNNNNNNNNNNNNNNNNNNNNNNNNNNNNNNNNNNNNNNNNNNNNNNNNNNNNNNNNNNNNNNNNNNNNNNNNNNNNNNNNNNNNNNNNNNNNNNNNNNNNNNNNNNNNNNNNNNNNNNNNNNNNNNNNNNNNNNNNNNNNNNNNNNNNNNNNNNNNNNNNNNNNNNNNNNNNNNNNNNNNNNNNNNNNNNNNNNNNNNNNNNNNNNNNNNNNNNNNNNNNNNNNNNNNNNNNNNNNNNNNNNNNNNNNNNNNNNNNNNNNNNNNNNUUUAAAGCAGAGAUAAUACCUAUCCUUCUCAAGCUAUUCCAAGAAAUAGAAAGGGAAGGAAAACUUCCAGACUCAUUCUAUGAAGCCAGUAUUACUUUGAUUCCUAAACCAGACAGAGACCCAGUAAAAAAAGAGAACUACAGGCCAAUAUCCCUGAUGAAUAUGGAUGCAAAAAUUCUCAAUAAGAUACUAGCAAAUCGAAUUCAACAGCAUAUAAAAAGAAUUAUUCACCAUGAUCAAGUGGGAUUCAUUCCUGGGAUGCAGGGCUGGUUCAACAUUCGCAAAUCAAUCAACGUGAUACAUCACAUUAACAAAAAAAAAGAGAAGAACCAUAUGAUCCUGUCAAUCGAUGCAGAAAAGGCCUUUGACAAAAUCCAGCACCCUUUCUUAAUAAAAACCCUUGAGAAAGUCGGGAUAGAAGGAACAUACUUAAAGAUCAUAAAAGCCAUUUAUGAAAAGCCCACAGCUAACAUCAUCCUCAACGGGGAAAAACUGAGAGCUUUUUCCCUGAGAUCAGGAACACGACAGGGAUGCCCACUCUCACCGCUGUUGUUUAACAUAGUGCUGGAAGUUCUAGCAUCAGCAAUCAGACAACAAAAGGAAAUCAAAGGCAUCAAAAUUGGCAAAGAUGAAGUCAAGCUUUCGCUUUUUGCAGAUGACAUGAUAUUAUACAUGGAAAAUCCGAUAGACUCCACCAAAAGUCUGCUAGAACUGAUACAUGAAUUCAGCAAAGUUGCAGGAUACAAAAUCAAUGUCCAGAAAUCAGUUGCAUUCUUAUACACUAACAAUGAAGCAACAGAAAGACAAAUAAAGAAAAUGAUCCCAUUCACAAUUGCACCAAGAAGCAUAAAAUACCUAGGAAUAAAUCUAACCAAAGAUGUAAAGGAUCUGUAUGCUGAAAACUAUAGAAAGCUUAUGAAGGUAAUUGAAGAAGACUUAAGGAAAUGGAAAGACAUUCCCUGCUCAUGGAUUGGAAAAAUAAAUAUUGUCAAAAUGUCAACACUACCCAAAGCUAUCUACACAUUCAAUGCAAUCCCAAUCAAAAUUGCACCAGCAUUCUUCUCGAAAUUAGAACAAGCAAUCCUAAAAUUCAUAUGGAACCACAAAAGGCCCCGAAUAGCCAAAGGAAUUUUGAAGAAGAAGACCAAAGCAGGAGGCAUCACAAUCCCAGACUUUAGCCUCUACUACAAAGAGUAUGAAGCUUUUAAAAUUUGCCCUUUCAAAAACUUUGACAAGUUAUGUAGGGAGUUACAAGUACUUAAGAUGAAAAUGAACGCCUUCCCUUGGUAAAUGUAUUUCAGGAACAUUGAGAAACCAUAAAGAGAAAGUUGAGGGUAAUAGAACCUCACCUUGUAAUUUUCUGGGGUGAGAAGACAAGGCAAAAUGGCCCUGGGCUGAAAGGAAAAGGAGAAAGAAGGACAACUCAUUCCUAAAUAAUGUGUAUAAAUUUCUGCCCUGAAAUUCUUAUUUUGGGUAAGAACUUUUACUUUCCCUAACAAUGUGACCAGACUUAAGAGUUUGAUAUAAUGUUUAAAUAGUCUUUGUGUUUCUAGUCAGUAAAAACCUAAAUACAAGUGAAAUAUCUUUGCUUAUUCUAUACCAGUAUUUAGAUGGAGAAUGGGGAAAUCCCAUCAAUGUCUUACUAUACAGUUAAUCUAAUAUUGCUUUCAACUGGAUUGUGGAGAAUAUUCUUUAUUUCUGCAUGAGAGUCUAUUUGCUUUAUUGUGGACUUUUUCCUUACCUUAAAUCCAUCCACAAGUGGCCAUUAUAUCCUGGUCCCAAAUGUAGUGAGGAAGUGAGUAGGAAAUCCUUAACAUCCAUUUCCUCUGUUCUCUAUGUCUUUGCUUCUGUAAUUGCUGUCUGAAAGCUGGUCACAUCAGUAUCACCUGGGAGCUUGCUUGAAAUGCAGAUCUCAGGCCCUCAUGCCAACCUGCUGAAUUAGAACCAACGUUUUUAAAAGAUCCUUGGGUAAAUUGUAAGCCCAUUAGAGUUUGAGAGGCUGCCACGAUAUAUAUAAAUAACACUUCUUCAGAUCUAAAUGUUGAUUAUGAAGUUGAUAAAGUGUAAAAUAAUCUUCACAUGAUUUAAAUGCCUACUCUUGAGAGAUACCUGGGAAAUAAAAUUAAUGAGAUGAUCUGUGUGUAUAUAGCUUUCUAUGGCUCAGCUUGAUGUUUCUCCUCUUUUUUAUGCCAAUGACUAUUCUACUGAACCAACUUGGCUUUUGAAUGGUUACUUGACUUAUGCAUUUCAUAAAUCUGUAUUAAACACUCUAAGUAUCAAGAAUAAUAAAAAGAUGAUGAAUAUGUCCCUUUCUUCUUGAGAAAUUUAGACUAUGGCCAGGGGAGCAAAUUUGUGUUUCAAGGAGCCCUAGCUCAGAUAUUCUUACCUUCAAGUGGGUCACAGACCCCCUUGAUAGAAUGGUGGAAGCUAAGGAACCUUUCUCAGGAAAAUGUCCACAAUUUGGGGUGUUAAAGUAACCAGAUUAGACCCAAGAUGGAGUUGCUUAUGCUAUACCUUAUGUUGCAAACCAGAAAACUUAAAUAAGUUUCUAUGCUCAGCUCUCCCGGAAUAGGAAGGCUUUAGGUCAACUAAUCAGCACUUGCCUGCUUAGCACAAGUUACCUGACCUAGUUCCAAGACUUCUCUUUGUUCCAUAUAAGGAAAUCUCCCCUGCUUUAACCAGUCAGCAAAUGCCCAGUAUAACUUCCUUGAUCCUGCUCACUUUGGUCUAUAAAAAUCUGUUAUCUUGAACAGCUCUUUCGACAUCCUUUCUGUCUGCUAGAUUGGAUGCUGCCCGGUUUAUGAACCACUGAAUAAAAGCCUGCUAGAUCAAUAAAUUGUUUAUGGAAUAUUUUCCUACAUGAGGAAUUUGUGGUACCACUGAAGCCCAUCUGUAGGCCUCCUCAGAUAGUUUUCCUUAUCUGGUUCACUUUGGUCACAGUGUCUAGGAUUCAUGAAUCUCAGAGAUAUUUCAGACCUCUGAUAUCUUAUAUAAAAUUCUGUUUAUGUGAAUUUUUUUGUGUGAAGAGAAACCAUGAUAAUAAUCUGGUUACCAAGAAGUCCAAUUCUCAAAAAGCAGGUUAGUAGACUUACAUAGGUUUUUACAUAGAAAAUCCUUCACCUGUGUUAUCUUUAGUAACUCAACAGAAGGAGUAAACAGGAGAUUCAGAGGUGGGACCUAAAGAAAAAGGUGAAUUAGUCUAGUUUCACACCCCGUCUCCCUUUCCUGGCUAUUGAGCUGGUAAAAGCUUUAGGGGCCUUCUCCAAACCCCAUAUACACCAUUUUCACAGGUGUUCCCAGAGAAGUAGUCCUCCCUGGCAUCAUCAGCCCUCACAUGUCAGGAGGCCAAUUGUGUCCUUGAACAAGAAGCAGACUCCCAAGUUUCCUAUAGUGAGCAGGGAGAGCAGAUUUAAUUUGGAAGAUCUUCAUGGAAAUUAAGACAACAAAGUAAGGAAAUGGAGGAAAAGGAAAGAAAUUAGCUUGGAAGAGUAGAGGAAGGACAUGCAAUGCGAUGACAUUCUCUUUCAUGGAUAGUAUCAAGGCAAUAAAAUGGAAAAAUGUUUGCUUAAAAUGCAGCUAAGAUGUAGGCAAGAUAUCUCUUUUGGCAGGGUGGAUUAAAAGUUAUUUGAAGUUUAAUAUAAUAAAGCUCUUUAAAUGGAGAGCCUUAGCUUGCCUGAAGUAAUCCAGUUAGUAGAGCUUCAGCUUUAUGUGAUAGUGUUGGUAUUUCAAAAUAUAACUCUCCGCAUUCUCUUUUUCUUGAAUAGUCUUAGAUGUCCUCACAAAUUUAAAAAAUUGUAAUACAUUUUUCUUUGAUACAUUUGUGCUUUAAAAUAUUUAUUUUCCCUUUGUUUUUUAAGGAUAAGAUGAAGUAGGCAAUGGGCUAAAAUAUAUUUUUUUCUUUAAUGAUAAAUUUGUGAAUUGUAAUCUUAGUUACAUAUAUAGAACUAGAUGUGACAACUGGGGAACAUCCUGGGUUAGGAAAAGUUGGCAUGUUGCUUCUUUGAGCUACUUUUCGGAUGAUUAAAAUUUUGGAAAAACUUCUUUUGAGUAGAGUGUUUUGUGGAUUGCUUUAGAAUAUAUGUGACGGUUCUAAUUUUUUAAAGCUGGAAUUCAUGUAUGAAUUAUAGUGCCUAGAACAGUCUUGUUAUUUCAUUUACCUACUAGUAACAAUUUACUCUAAUUGAAUCUUUUAAUCGAGAAAUACCAGAGCAGUUUACAAGCAUUAAUUAAUGCUCCCAACUCCCCAAUGCGGUAGGUACGUGUUAGUCUUGUUUUAUAAAUGCAGAAUUAAGGAAAGAGUUAAGUGACUUGCCCAGGGCCACCCAGGAAGCCAAGAGGUGAAAGGUAGAGAGAAACUAACCAUUCUUGGCUCUGAGGGAGCAUCCUUGUGGUUCUUGAGCUGGAGGAAGGCCUGUUUUUUGGUUUAUGUGGUGGUAUGAGAGAAUAGGGAGAAAACGUGGAGAUCCUCUUGUCUUCAUUCCUUUAUUUCAUAGAUGAGGAAAUUAAGUCACAGAGCAGUGAUGUGACUUCACUGCCCAAGAUAAAUUCAUUCAUUCAUUCAUUCAGCAAGUAUUCAUUGAGUACCUAUUGCAUGACAAGCAUGCUUUAAAUUCUGGAAACACACUAAACAAAGUCCCUGUUUUUGAGGAGCUUAUAUGACAAUGGGAGGGAGACAGUCAAUAAACAAGUAGACAAAUAAAUUUUAUGCUGUAUCUUUUGGGAAAAAAAAAGUCCAGAAAAGGAGAGGAAGUGUGUGUGUACUGGAGGGGAGGUGUUGCUGUUUUAUACAUGGUGUGCAAUAAAGGUAAUAAAGCAUUUGAGCAGAGAUAAUAUGUACUGUGGGAUCAGAAUAUUUAGGUAGCUGGAGGAACAGCUUUCCAAGGAGAAGGAAAAGUAUAAAUGGAGGCAAAAUCCCUGAGGUAGAAGAGUUCUUGGCUUACUUGAGAAAGAGCAAGAAGACCAAUUUACCUAAGAAAAGCAAGCAAAGGGACGAGUCUUAGGCAGUGAGAUCAGAAUGCAAAAGGGGGCAGUAUUUGAGAGGACCUGGUCAGCCAUUGUAAGGACUUCAGCUUUUACCCUGACAUGUGAAGCCAUGAGACAGUUUGGGAACAGGAGUGAUGUAAUCUGACUUACGUAUAAGAAGGAUCACUCUGGCUCUUAUGUGGGGAAGAGUUACAGGGGUUUGGGGGAAGUGUAAAAAUAGGGAGAUCAGUUAUAUGAGCAAUUUUAUGCUAAAAUCGAAUAUUGACCAAGACAGAUGUCAGGGAACAGGAAAAGCUGUCAUGAGCUGAAUGGCUAGGACAUUAAAUUCCAACUUUAAAGCACAAGCUUUACUCCUUGUGAUGCUAGGUAUUUAAUUAGGUUCAGAAGGUUUAAAAAUAUUCUUUCUGCGUGAGUAACAGCAACUGUAUCUAAAUUUUCUCUAAUGUGCACUCUUUAAGAUAUAGAUGCCAAAUGAUGGCCACUGAGCAAGCUGUACAUUGGUGUGGAUAUACAGGUCACUCAAGUGAGACACUUCCUAAGAUACUUACUGGGUAGAGAGCUAAUGAUGGGCCCAGCCCUACCUGGAGGCUAGGGGUGGUGCUAGAAGUAAGCCUGUGAACAUCAUGUCAGUGGACGUGGGUUCAAGUCUCAGGUCUGUCUUGUAAGCUGGGUAACCUUGGAUAAACUUACCUCUCAGAACCUCAGUUUCGUCAUCUAUGAAAUGGGUUAACAAUACCAGCUCUUUCAUUAGGUCAAAUCAUUCACAGGCUCAGAUUAUUGAGGUAAAAUGCUUAAUACUAUUUUUCAUUAGUCAGCCUCAUUAAAGAUUAAUUUUUAUUAUUUUUCAGUUCAUUAAAAGAAACUUUUCCAUGGAAAUGCUUAUAAAACAAGUCACUUUUAUACUCCAGCCUUCAUUGUUACUGCUAAAGAUCUUCAAGAAAGUUUAGCAAGAAGAUUAUAGGCCUCAGUAACUCUGUUGGUUCUUUGUCAUCAGGUAUUUUUAAGUGGACGCUACAUUAUAGAGUCGAAGAUUUUUAAUGAGUGAGCCAUCAUCAUUUAGGAGGAAGAUUCUGUGUGAGUGAACAUAUCAAUUAGGAAUACUUUGUGCUGAAUGUAACAGAAAGAUGUGAUGAGCAGGGUCUUGAAUGAUAAGGUUAUGUGAUAAUUUUUUAUGCCAACGAAUCUAGAGGUUGGUUGUUGGACCAGGAGCAGUGUAGUGGUUCAAAGGUCAGAGUCUGAUUUGUAUCUUCCUAUUUUAUCAUUCUUGGUGUAUUAGGUUUUCAUUAUCAUGCUGUUUAUCUCACAUCACAAGAUGGUUGCUUAUCUAAAAGCUCUGGACUUAUAUCCUUAUGGUAGUUACGUUUGGAGAAGUAGUUAUGGGAGAAAAAGAUGUUGUUCUUACCAAGAUUACUCUUUUUAUUUUAGAAAGGAAGCUCCCAGUAAAUAUCCUCCUACCUCUCAUUAGUUGGUAUAGGACCACAUGACAGUUCUAGACCCUUUUGCUUCAUCAUUGAAGGAAAGGAUUACUGUGUCUGCAAUAGAGUAAUCAUGUGUCAUUUCCUAUAGAUGAGAGGAGCCUGCAUUCCCUAAUACUGAGAUCUCUAGGGGCACCUGGGUGGCUCAGGCUGGUGGGUUCUAGCCCUGCAUUGGGCUUUGUGCUGAGAGCAGGGAGAUGGCUUGGGAUUCUCUUUCUCGUUGCUCCUCCCUGCUCAUGCACUUUUUCUGUUUUUCGAAAUAAAUAAACUUCUAAAUAAAAAAGUAAAAUGAAAAAAGAAAAGAUCUCUUUUCCUGUUCUUUUUUUAAAGUUUAUUUAUUUAUUUUGAGAGAGAGAGAGAGAGAGAGAGAGAGCAUGAGUGAGGGAGGGGAAGAGUGAGGGGGAGAGAGAGAGAGAGGGAGGGAGGGAGGGAGGGAGGGAAUCCCAAGCAGGUUCCACACUGUCAGCACGGAGCCUGAUGUGGGGCUCGAACUCACAAAUCAUGAGAUCAUGACUUGAGCUGAAAUCAAGAAUCAGAUGCUUAGCCAACUGAGCCACCCAGGUGUCCCCUGCCUGUUCUUUAAAAAAAAAAAAAAAAAAAAAAAGUUUAUUUUGAGAGAGAGAGAAAGCAUGAGUGGGGGAGGGGCAUAGGGAGAGGUAAUUCUAAGCAGUCUCCAUGCUCAACAUGGAGAUCAUGAUCUGAGCUGAAAUCAAGAGUCGGACGCUUAACUGACUGAGUCACCCAGGUGCCCCUUGCCUGCUCUUAAAGAGUCAGGAUGCUUUUAGCAGGUAAGACGUGCACUUGUGUUUGUGUAUGGGGCUGGGGCAAGAAUGACAGCUGGGCAGGGGAGUAUCUGAAUGAGUACUGUAUCUAAGAUACAGUAAAGCUAGUGGUUUUUCUGGAAGUGACAUUUAAGCUGUGGUCUAAAUUCUCCCAGGGAAGAGGAACCCAACCUGGUAUGUUGGAGGAACAAGCAUCUGUCUAUGGUGGCUGGGUUUGAUGGGAAAUGAACUUUAUAGGUAGGCAAGGCCAGGUUAAGAGUUUGGAUCUUACUCUAUGUAAAAUGGGAAGCCAUUGGAGGGUUCUAAGUACAAGAAUGACAAGAUCUGAUUUCUGGCUUCUGAGUGGUUAAUGAAUGGAGAUGGCAAGAAGAGAAGCAGGGAUAUGGAUCAGUGGGCUGUUUCAGGCCCCUAAGCAGUUGUGUGUAGAGGGUUAGGCUAGGAUGAAAUGGUAGCUGGCUUUCACAUUUGCCUACAGUGAUUCUCUAUUGAUAUUUACAGUCUUCUGUUAGUCAGCUCCCGCAUUUUGCCAUGGUUAGUCAGAAUGACUAGUAGAAUAUAGCAGAAGUGAUGUUCUGUUGCUUCUGAGAUUAGGUUAUAAAAGACUAUUGCUUCCACGUUGGUCUCUCUCUUUCUUGAUCUCUCACUCUGGGAGAAAUGGGCUACCAUGUUCUGAGUUACCAUAGGGAGAAGCUCAUGUAGUAAAGAACUGAAACCUCCAGCUAGUGGUCUUCAAGGAACUGAGCAUGCCAACAACUUCCUGUUUGACCUUGACAUGACUGCAGCCCUGCUCAAUGCUGCAGCCCUCUUGAGUUUGCAGCCUCAUGAGAGACUCUGAGCCAGAACCACCCAGCAAAGUCUGUCCCAGAUUCCCCACUCUCAGAAACCAUGUGAUAUAAUAAAUCCUUGUUGUUUUAUGGCACUAUGUUCUGGAAUUAUUUAUUAUGCCAAAAUAGAUGGCUAACAUAGGUGGCAUCAGUGGAGAUGGAGAGAAAUAGAAUUUUAGAGAAUUUUAAUUCAGCAAGAAUUUCAGAUGGAUUAUGUAUAAGGAGUUAGAGAAAAGAGUCUGAUCAAAGUUAGCUUUCAGAUUUUUUACUUGAGCAAAUGGGAGUGUUUUUUGUGCUGUUUACAAAAAUGAAGGCAUUUAGAGAGAAGAGAAAGUUUGGGUAACAUAAUUAAGAGUUUUGCUUUGGGGUAUGUCACGUUUGAGAUGCUGGUUAUUUCUCAGAUGGUCAGUUGGCUAUGAGUCUGGAGUUCUGGGGAGAAAUCAGGAAUGGAGAAAUAGAUUGAAAAAUGUCUAGAAUACAGGUGGCAUUUACAGGCUGUAGAACUGGAUGAGAUAACCUAGAGAGAGUGUAAAAAGAAAAUAAGGGUGCAGGGCCUUGGGCCCCUUAACAUUGGUGUUCUUAUUGUGAGCAUUGACAAGGGAAUGAAAAAUGAAUAUUAAAACACAGCUCACUUUACAAAUUAAAACUCAAAAUACAUAUAAGUAUUGAGUUGUUCAUGCUGGGCCUAUUCAAUAUUGGGCAUGUCUACUGAAGAAACCUUUUAAACCUCUUUAUGAUGUGGCAUUUGUACAUUGUGGGUAUGUUAAGACUACUAUGGGACUUUAAUUCUUGAACUUCCUGAUACUUGGUAUACUUUCAUUUGAAACUUUCCUAUUGUAUGACCAUAAAUUUAAAAGUUAAACAUGUAUAGCUAUGCACAAUGACUUCUGAUGUGUCUAAAUUUCCAAGAAACAUGUACCAUGGUAUUGGCUAUUUAUGAGUGUGGAGAAAUUUAAGGAAAUAUAUUUCUUUUUCAUGUUGUAUAGCAAAUUACAGCUCAGUAUGGGCCUUUAAAAAAUAGAUUUGCUUUACUUCAAACAACAUGCUUACCCUGAAUUUUUCCAGGAGUGUUUGGUACAUACACUUCUGAUGGUUCUUUUAUAAAUGAUGUGGUGUAUCAGAACCUUGUCACCCCCCAGGCUCCUUGGAAACAGGCAGAAGAGGUUAUCUUUUGCCUUUCGGGUUUGCCUAGGGAAAAUUGAAAAGCAGUCUUCCAUUUGAGGUCAAGUUCCUCAAGAUACACAGCAGGAUAAAACUUAUAGUCUUCAAGAUACACAGCAGGAUACAAAAUUAUAUCUCCAGUGGUCAGGGGAAUGCAUGUCCAAUAUAGCUUGUAGAGGGGAAAGGUAAUGGCAGGUUAACUGAAUCUCUUGUAUUGGUGGAAUAAUAGGACUGAAACAUACCCAGAACUUCUUGAAAGUUGACUGUGAAUAGGAUCUUUUCCCUUUGCUUUCUGGACUUUUCUUUUCCCCUGUCAAGGAAGACUGAGUCCCCAUGAAAUGAAGACUUUUGAUUUUGGCCUAAAGCUUACAACUUGCGUUUCCCAUGAGAAUACCAACACCGUGCUUUGUAUGUCAAUCAUGAUAUGUCACCAGCAGGUGGCAACAGCGGGUGCAAUAGAAUGAAAACCCUAGGUCAGUAUCUCUGUGGAUAACUAAGAAGGGUGGCAUGCCAGUGUAUGCAGAAGGGAAACAACUGCUAUUUAUUUAAAAAUAAAUGUGUUUUACCACUUUAUCUCACCUCUCCAAAAGCCCAUUUUCUUUCUUCCACCAACAUUGAUUUGGACCAGAGGUCAGUACUCUAUUAACCAGAGGGAGGUCCUUUUAACAGCCUGUAGAUCUUUUCCUCUACAUCAAGGGGAGGGUGGUUUGCCAGCGUUUGUUAAAGAGUUCUCAUUUUUGACUUGCCUGCCCCUAUGGGCCUCUUAAAACAACUCUGAAAACAAGUGGCAAAGAAUAAUUUAUUACUUAAGAGUUAGUGAGAGCCAACUAAUUUGACCCCGUUAAGUGGGGUAUUACAAAGCUAGGAAGGGAUGACUGAGUUAUUUGCCAACAUGAGAGAACAACAGAAUUCAUUGGUUUUUAAAGCUGGCACAGCUGUGGUCAAAGGGGUUUGCUGUCAUUGACUCCCAGCCUGUUGGUGAAGAGUCCCAUUUCAUUGCGGAUGCCAACUCAGAGAGAGGCACUUGCCCCUUACAGUGGCUUCUGUGUGAUUUCAGAACUGGUGUUUUGACAAACACACUAUGGCAGGGUGGACAUGCUUGGACUUGCCACAAACACAAUGAGGGUCCCAAGUUUUCUUUCAGAUCCAAAGAAAAAGGCUAUUUGAAGAAUGAGGUCAACGGAGUGAAUGUUCUUGAGGGUACAUCUGCUCCAUAGGGGUGUAGAUCCUUGGAAGGGCAUCCUUUGCAGACUGAGGAUGGGACAAGCCAUAAAUGAGGAUAAGCUUGCCCUGUGCUUUAGUCUACUCUGAGCUCAAAAUUACCGUAUAUGCUUAAUAAAUUAGUUAGGCUUCAGGUAUCACAAUAUGUCAAGGAAAAGAAAUACCAAACUAUGAGGACAUGGUUGUAGGCACAGUCAUAGCAGGGCAACUGUAAAAAUGAUCCCUUUACAUUCCUCUGAAAGCCAGCCUGUGCGCAUUUUGCAGAAACCUCUUGCCUCCUAUCUCACUCAGAAUCUGAACUGUUAGUAGCUUCCCGAGAUGCAGUUUUAAUCAUCCAUGAAGUCUUUUCCCCCUUCACUGUCUCUAAGAGCAACAACUUUUCAUGUUUUUAAGAAGGUGGGAUCUGUAUUUACCUUACCACAUAAAAGAAGCUCAGUGUAGGAGGUUGGGCUAUGGCUUUGGUCUGGCCUGAAACUGACAUUUUAACUUCUUAUAAAAACUGACAUUUUAUACUUCUUAAUGUCUAAAAAAUGUAUACAUUUCCAUUUAAUCAUCUAUCAAAUAGGGUAAUAAUCCUACCUGGGAGACAUAGAAUAUAUAAUAAUAAUAACUAAUUACGAUUAUAGCUUAUUUAUGUGCUAAUUGCUAGACCAUGUGGCUUGACACUUCACCCAUCUAUCUCAGAGAAAAGCCGAAAUCCUACCAUUGCUUCCAAGGCUGUGUGCAAUCCCACUCCCUUACCUCUGACCUCAUUCCCUCCUGGUUUCCUUUCAUUCUUCAGGUCACUGUGCUGGCCCCGUUUCUAUGUUUUGAGUAUACUAGGGUCUUUGCAUUGCUGUACCUCCUGGCUGGACUGCCCUUCACUCAGAUAUGUACAGGGUGAAAUUUCUCACUGCCUUCUGUUCUGUCAAGUGCCACCUUCUCAAGGAAGUCUACCUGGAUCAUGCUUUUUAAAAAUGCAACCUGCCCCCUACUGACACUCCUAACACUAUUGAUAACCCAUGUCUGACUCUGUGUUUUCUACAUUUCAAAACACUUCUCUGUUAAUUAUGAUUAUUUUUUGUUGUCUGUCUCCCUCAAUUAGAACAUAAAUUCUUUGAGUGCAAUAAUUUUUAACUUUUUCUUAGUGGAGUAUUGUAAGUACCUUGAAUGUGGCUAAUAUACAAAGGCAUUCAAUUUAACUUUUGGUUGAAUGAGUGACAAUACAACAAUCCUGCAGUUAGGUACACACACACUCUCAUCCAUACUCACACGUACAUAUACUCACAAACUCGUACUUCCACACACACCUCACACUCUCCUGUUCAUACACACUAAUACACACUUACAUACAGGAUUUAUUUUUGAUAUUGAUAAAUUUGGUUUAUAACCUAUUUUGUGUUCCUAUUACAAAGGUAACAUAAUUAGAGCUGCUCGAAUAUACAUUUAGGUGAAUUGGGUAACCUUUUUCCCCUAGAAUCACUUCUAUAAAAGAAAAUACUUGUAUAUUAUACAAGAUAAUAUCUUAUUAUGCAGGUAUUUGUUAGUAUUGUUUUUCUAAUAUGAAAAAUUAUGAGAUGGUCAGUAUAAAUAUGAAAAAUCAGAAUCUAUGAAUACUUUACAGAUACACAGUUUUAAUGUUAAAGUAAUAGUAAGCAAGCUACUAAACUAUUCCAGAUAAACACUCUGCUAGAUGUAGUUGAAUGAAUAGAUAAGGAUCACUUACAAUUAACACCCUGUUGGAUAAUUGUAAAUGUGUUUGAAAACAAUUUGUUCCCUUAAGUAAAUUUUAACGCCUCCCACCUCCACUUUUGUUUACAUUAAAUUGUUUAAUCAAUCUAUUUUUUUUAUAAUGGGAAAGUAAACUGUAGAGACAUAGACAGUAGACAAAGUUGUAUUUAGAUUGUCACAAAUUGUAAAUUACAAGUCUUAAUUUAAGGUACUUUUUUUUUCUCUUGAACAAGUGCUAUUCUAUAAUAUAACUACCAUUUGAUUUGUUUUGAUGGUUACUUUUGACCCAUAUUCAUACUUCUUUAUCCAGAAUCUUCCCAAAUCACACUUCGUUACCCAAAUCCUCAUUCAGAAAAUGACUGAGCCACAAAAAUAAGGGUUUUAUUUUGUUUGCAAAGGAAUAUUGGUAGUAGAGAUGAAUGAUGAUUUUUAAGGUGUAUUUUAGUUCAUCUGAUAUUUGGUUUGAUAAAUUUCUCAAUUUUGGUGGGGAGGGAGGAGGCAUUGUAUCCAGGAAGCCUAGCUCCUUCCAUUGGGUAUUUUCCCUUGUUUGGAGUUCUGUGAAUCUGUGUCUUCUGCAGCUGCUCAGAGUGACCAUCUGGUUUUGGUUGGAACAUUCCUGCAGGGCCUUACUGUUUUCCCAAAUAGAGCAUUACAGGAUUGCAUAGUUAUAGGUGUUACAGAGUUCUUCCUCAUGUAUAGCUAAAAUUUAGUUUCUUGGGGUUUCCCCAACUGGUGGUAGAUCUAACACUGUGGUAAGGUCCUAGCUACUACUUCUUUUUCCCUCUACAUGUCAAGAUCCUUUUCUCAAGAAAACUAAGAGUGACAUUAUUCCUGUUUUUUCUUCUCCAGGAGAGACCAAAUAUAUCCACUUUCUUAAUUUUUUUAAGAAGGUGAGUAUCUAUACACACACAUACACGCAUAUGGUUUGUGCCAUCAUUUUUUGAGGUUUACCUCAUUUUUAAGUGAGAUCCUGUACUUUUUGCCUCCAGGAAGAAAUCUUCUCCGAUUGGUGCAAAGGCAUAGGGAAAAGGAAACAGUAUUUGCAUUGAAGAGACUCUUGUCCAGACAGCUUCACCCUGUCCAGACAGGGUACAUGCCUUCUGUAAAAUGAGGCACAACUAUUUCCUGGUGAAGUCUACAUGCGCACCCUGUUACUGCUGUUUAUUUCUUUCAGGUUGGAUUGUAGGCAUUCUUCAUUGGCCCUCAGAACAUCCCUGAGACUCGUCAUUGCUUCUACUGUUCUAGGGAGGAUAAUCUGGAGGUACACAUUGACUGGGAACCUGCCCAAAUAUUACACAAAUCUAACCGAGAAUCAAAUCCAAAUCUUUGGACAUAUGUGAAAAACAGAAAGAGAAGACAAAUGGAGUGCAUGUGUCUGCAUCAGCGAACUACAU